rnacentral:rRNA from 1 species
UUGGAGGGCAAGUCUGGUGCCAGCAGCCGCGGUAAUUCCAGCUCCAAUAGCGUAUAUUAAAGUUGCUGCAGUUAAAAAGCUCGUAGUUGAAUUUCGGGACCAUCAUGUCGGUCGUGCCUCGGUACGUACUGGUAUUGUUGGUUUCUCCCUUCUGACGAACCAUGAUGUCAUUUAUUUGGUGUUGUGGGGAAUCAGGACUGUUACUUUGAAAAAAUUAGAGUGUUUAAAGCAGGCUCACGCUUGAAUACAUUAGCAUGGAAUAAUGAAAUAGGACGUUUGAUUCUAUUUUGUUGGUUUCUAGGAUCGACGUAAUGAUUAAUAGGGAUAGUUGGGGGCAUUAGUAUUCAAUUGUCAGAGGUGAAAUUCUUGGAUUUAUUGAAGACUAACUUCUGUGAAAGCAUUUGCCAAGGAUGUUUUCAUUAAUCAAGAACGAAAGUUAGCCCCAUCGAAGACGAUCAGAUACCGUCGUAGUCUUAACCAUAAACUAUGCCGACUAGGGAUCGGAUGAUGUUAAUUUUUUAAUGACUCAUUCGGCGCCUUACGGGAAAC